rnacentral:rRNA from 1 species
UGAAUGGGUUGGCUCCUAGCUGCCCUUGUCUGAUCUCAGAAGCUAAGAAGGGUCAACCCUGGUUAGUACUUGUAUGGGAGAGUGCCUAGGAAUAUCAGGUACUGAUUGCU